CUAUACUUAAGUCUAAAAGCCGACUUUUAAUUAAAUAAAAAAAGUCGAAAAAUCGACUUUUCAUAAAUUGCAAAAAGUCGAAAAGUCGACUUUUAGUUUCAACUAAAGAACCCUACUAUAAGCGCAGUUCUUGAUGGCGGUAGUAAAGUAAUUAAACUCUUCGCUAAAUUCAUGUCACAAUCCAAAUUACGGCUGGAACUAGUAAGCUGCUUUUCGCUACUUAUAUAUCGGCAUUUAAGCUCAGUUUACUACAUAAAUGUUGUUGGAGAUUCGACUGUUGUACUCAUGUAUGUAUUCUGAUGUCUGCCAACUAAAGGAAAUCAGCUCAAAAUAAGUACUUACAUAUCAGGCUAUGUGUAAGUCAUUAAUACACUACUUUACAAGUAAUGCAACAAUGUUAUAAAGCAGUCUCUGAUAAUAAAGUUCUUGAGUUACUAUAAGUCAUUAUCAUGUUUGUUCUGGUCCAUUAGCGAUAAUACCAAAUAGAAAAAUUUCAACUACAAUAAAUUUAUAUCUCAUGACUCGAGCGAAUACAUAAAUCAUUCAAAAUACCAGAUAUUUUUCAUGCGAUGUUGGCUUGAAGUUCUUCUUUCAUUAUUAUC